UGGGGAAUCUUGGACAAUGGGCGCAAGCCUGAUCCAGCCAUGCCGCGUGAGUGAAGAAGGCCUUCGGGUUGUAAAGCUCUUUUUACCAGGGACGAUAAUGACGGUACCUGGAGAAUAAGCCCCGGCAAACUUCGUGCCAGCAGCCGCGGUAAUACGAAGGGGGCUAGCGUUGUUCGGAAUUACUGGGCGUAAAGCGCGUGUAGGCGGGUCGUUAAGUUGGGGGUGAAAUCCCGAGGCUCAACCUCGGAACUGCCUCCAAAACUACAAAUCUGGACCUAAGUAGAGGCAAGUGGAAUUGCGAGUGUAGAGGUGAAAUUCGUAGAUAUUCGCAGGAACACCAGUGGCGAAGGCGACUUGCUGGACUUAUGGUGACGCUGAGACGCGAAAGCGUGGGGAGCAAACAGGAUUAGAUACCCAGGUAGUCCCUGAGCGGGCUGGCAAGGCGCAU
rnacentral:rRNA from 1 species